CUCCGUGUGCCAGAAGAAGGCCAAGGAGCACAAUGAGCGGGACCGCAAGGUGUACGCCAACAUGUUCAAGAAGUUUGCAGAGCAGGACGCCAAGGAAGCAGCCAGCAAAGCGGUGAGCAAGAAGCCUGUAGAAGGAGCGGCCGGGAAAAGAUCCGAGAGUCGGGCCAUGGAAGGAGG